rnacentral:rRNA from 1 species
UAAUACGGAGGGUGCGAGCGUUGUCCGGAAUCAUUGGGCGUAAAGGGCGCGUAGGUGGCCCGGUCAGCGUGCGGUGAAAGCUCGGGGCUCAACCCCGAGUCGGCCGUGCGAACUGCUGGGCUCGAGCACUGUAGAGGCAGGCGGAAUUCCGGGUGUAGCGGUGGAAUGCGUAGAGAUCCGGAAGAACACCGGUGGCGAAG